CUCAGAUAACACUCUCGGGGUUGUAGCCGGAGUCUUGACAUCAGUGGCGCUGGCGGCUGUUGUCGUAGUACAGUGUGUUAUAUUUGUAAUGGCAAAGAGGGAACAGGACAGCUCUGAGAGGUCAGUUCAAUCAAAUCCAAGAAAAGCACAGGAACAACGAAGAACAGCAGAUCUCACAUCCAGUCAGCAGCCCAUGGUAAACACAGGUGCUUCUGUGAGUCACGCUAACAAUUACAUGU